rnacentral:rRNA from 1 species
ACAUACGACCAUAGGAUUCUUGGCAUCACGGAAACCCGUCCGCUCUUCCCUAGUUAAACAGUUUACCGGCGGAUUAGUAGCCAGGUGGGUGACCACUGGCGAAUCCCCGCUGUCGUAUGUU